GUCUCAAUUCAGGGUCUGCAUCCUACCUCGGCCGGAUUCGUCGGCCGGUUACGUCACAGCGCCGCGACUCGGCCUGUCCCAAUUCGAAGACUCCUUCAAAUGCGGUCGACGAAUGCGGCCUUCUUUUCGCCUGAAUGAAGGAUGGGUCGGGUGUAUCCUUCAAUAGGUAGCAUUUCCCAAGAUGCCUUGCGGGCCGGCCGGCAGAAAAACUUAAAAACAAUGGCGGACAGUGAAGCGGGAGCUGUCGGAGAGGAUUGCGCAUAUACAUGAACAAAAGAGAAAACCAGGGAAUUUAUUAAGCUUAGGACGGAGAUGGACCACAUGAUCACCGGAGCAAAGUAUUCGGCGGCUGUGGCAUGGAGACUAUUCUGGAGAAAAUGGGCAUCCAGGGGAAGGUGCCAGCGAUGAGCUUCUGGAGCUGAUCUGGGAGGACAUGAGGCUGCAGAGGGAGGCAGAGCAGCAGGAGCCCAGGAGAGAAGGAAGAACUUUGACAGCUUUUUACUUUGCUAGAAAAAAAUGGUUAAGGAAGAUUAAACAUGUACAUGUAAAAGAAAUAUCUAAAUAAAAUCAGUUCUGC